AAAAGCGAGUCAUAGAAA
rnacentral:sRNA from 1 species